UGUGUAGGCGGUUGUUUAAGUUUGGUGUGAAAUCUCCCGGCUCAACUGGGAGGGUGCGCCGAAUACUGAAUGACUUGGAGUGCGGGAGAGGUGAGUGGAAUUCCUGGUGUAGCGGUGAAAUGCGUAGAUAUCAGGAGGAACACCGGUGGUGUAGACGGCUCACUGGACCGUAACUGACGCUGAGACACGAAAGCGUGGGUAGCAAACA
rnacentral:rRNA from 1 species